rnacentral:tRNA from 1 species
UGCGGGAUCGUCUAAUGGUCGGACGCCUGCCUUUGGAGCAGCGUAAUCCAGGUUCGAAUCCUGGUCCCGCAG